rnacentral:rRNA from 1 species
GAUGAACGCUGGCGGCGUGCUUAACACAUGCAAGUCGAACGAAGCAACUUAUUACGAUCCCUUCGGGGUGACGAUUUGUUGACUGAGUGGCGGACGGGUGAGUAACGCGUGGGUAACCUACCUUGUACAGGGGGACAACAGUUGGAAACGACUGCUAAUACCGCAUAAGCGCACAGCUUCGCAUGAAGCAGUGUGAAAAGUUUUUCGGUACAAGAUGGACCCGCGUCUGAUUAGCUAGUUGGUGAGGUAACGGCCCACCAAGGCGACGAUCAGUAGCCGACCUGAGAGGGUGACCGGCCACAUUGGGACUGAGACACGGCCCAAACUCCUACGGGAGGCAGCAGUGGGGAAUAUUGCACAAUGGGCGAAAGCCUGAUGCAGCGACGCCGCGUGAGCGAAGAAGUAUUUCGGUAUGUAAAGCUCUAUCAGCAGGAAGAUAAUGACGUAC